GGGAGCAACACAAGUUCUUUGGACAGAUGUCAGAAUGAAGAGACGGCUGAACAAGCUGCGGUUGAGCAGACAGUUGCCUAUGUUUCACUAAACUUAAGGCAGAGCAAAGGAUUUCGCAAAGGUCGACAACAAGGAGAGCGCAUUAUCUAUUCUCAGACUAAAAGAAAUGGAGCUGACAAACUGACUUACGCUGCUCUGCCCGUUCCUGAUUCCAAGAACACCUCAGCAUCCACACGUCAAAGCCAACUUACAUUAUCCGCUGAUGAAAAUACUUCAAAAGAACUGUGAAGCUGAAAAUUCAACUGCAGUUUAGAGCUAUAGAGUGUAAAUGAGCGCAGACAUAGGCAUUGCUUCGUUUCAUUUCUUGCAUCCAGAUAAAGACAGCUAAUCGAUAUAAUAUGUGUAAGUUAGGAAGAUCAGGGAUCGAUUUAGUCUUCGAUUUGUUGGAAGCGAUUAUCACUAGAAAAAUAAAAGUAAGUAAUUUAACAUAAGAUUGUAAGUAAGCCAUUCCGCCUCUCUCGGUUGCCCAGUCAUAAUUUCCAUUGAACGGUCCCCGAUCAUUUCAGUAAAGAAAACUACUUUGCCUGCAGUACCGCCCCACCCCGAAGAUAUUCCGUGAAGAGUGAUCAGAGAAUGAAAAAAAUCAAGAGAUUCUUCACCACUAGCGAGAGAAAAUUUGCUUCAGGAUACAAAAAAAACUCCCGCUGAACGGUUAUUCCUUGCUCACUUCUGUCACCGUUCAACCGAGGAAAAUAUAGAUUUGAUGAUGUGAAAAAAUGAUGUUCUCGCGAUAACACCUCUGUGUUUGA